AUUAGUUUUGUUUUCAAAUUUGCCAAUAACACCAUAUCAACAAGAGUUGUUAAAAGACGCUUUUGAUUUUAUUUUUAUUAACGAUCUUUCUGCCUUAGCUUUACAGGUAGCCCGAUGGGGAUAAUCCCGGGAAACUGGGGCUAAUACCCCAUAGGGAUAGGGUGCUGGAAGGCCCCUAUCCUCAAAGGGUGUUCGUAGCCGCCCGAGGAUGGGACUGCGGGGUAUCAGGUUGUUGUCGGGGUAAUGGCCCGACAAGCCGAUAACGCCUACGGGCCAUGAGAGUGGGAGCCCGGAGAUGGGCUCUGAAACAUGAGCCCAGGUCCUACGGGACGCAGCAGGCGCGAAACCUUCGCAAUGGGCUAACGCCCGACGAGGGGACCCGGAGUGCCCCAGCUCUGCUGGGGCUGUUGCCCUCUGAAAACGGGAGGGCGAGGAAGGGGUGGGGAAGACGGGUGCCAGCCACCGCGGUAAUACCCGCGCCCCGAGUGGUGGUCACGAUUAUUGGGCUUAAAGCGCCCGUAGCCGGCUUGGUGUGUCCCAGGUGAAAUCCUGCAGCAAACUGCAGGGCUUGCCUGGGAUACUACCAGGCUCGGGACCGGGAGAGGGCAGCGGUACGCAUGGGGUAAUGGAUAGUGUAGUGUGCGUACCUUUGAGCUUUUAUGCGAUGAAAUGAUUUUUAGAAUUAAGAUUUAGCUCAUAGUCUAGAGUGUAUUCUAUUUUAGUGUUUAGACUGCACUAUCCACCCUAAGGGGUUAAAUCCGUUAAUCCCAUGCGGACCACCAGUCAGCAGGAGUCAGAAAAUUAAAAUAAACAUUAAAAAACAGUUUAUGGAGAGAGAAACAGCGAUUGCCAGAUUGAUUGGUCAUGUCUUUGGCGAUGCUUCAAUCCAUAAAACCAAAUAUUACUUCGUCUAUACAAAUUCCAACAAUGUUCUUCAACGAAAAGUCAAAGAACUUGUAAUUAAAACUUUCGGUAAUAUCAAAUACAAUGUAGGGACUUCUAUAGGAGGAAUAUUAAGGUAUCAAUACCCUAGCAGAGUUGGAAAAUUUCUUUCAGAAAGAGGCGCGCCAAUUGGUUCUAAAAUUACUCAACCAACUACAAUACCUGAAUGGAUCUUUAAAGGAGAUGAUAAAAUAAAGUCUUCAUUUCUUGGUGCAAUAUUUGAUGAUGAGGGAUAUUUUAGAGAUUCAAGUAAUUCAAAACAAAUAGUGUUCAAAGCAUCAAAAAUUAUAGAGUUAAGACCUGAUUUAGAAAGAUAUCUCCUCCAAAUAAUUCAAAUGUUGGAUGAUUUGGGAAUAAAGGCAUCAACUGUCAAACAUGAUCAAUUAAAAACAAAAAAGAAUGGAAUUGAGGUUAUUUCUCUAAGAUUUUGGAUAACAGGCAAUAACAAUUUUCGUAAUUUUCGAGAAAAAAUUACAAUUUUCCACCCAGAAAAAAUUAAAAAGCUUAGCAAUAUGAUAUGACUCCUGCUGGGUGAGUGGCGAAGGCGGCUGCCUGGAACGGGUCCGACGGUGAGGGGCGAAAGCUAGGGGAGCAAUCGGGAUUAGAUACCCCGGUACAUGAGUUAGGGUAUCUUCCGAUUCUAAAGAUGAGGAAUAUCUAAUCCUCUGAUAUAUGAUUUGCUCCCAUAUGGCUAGGAUUUUCUCUAACUCAUGCGGGAAAGUCCUAGCCGUAAACGAUGCCCGCUUGCUGUCGCACGCUCUUCGGGAGCGUGCGGUGGCGGAGCGUAAGUGUUAAGCGGGCCGCCUGGGGAGUACGCCCGCAAGGGUGAAUUUGGGGCGAAGCCAGAAUUGGCUAGAGGGUGUGCUUCCCCCUACACCAAACUUAAGGGAAUUGGCGGGGGGGCACACAAGGGGUGGGACGUGCGGUUCAAUCGGACUCAACACCGAGAAUCUUACCAGGGCUGACGGCAGGAUGAAGGUCAGGCUGAAGACCUUACCAGACGAGCCGAGAGGUAGUGCAUGGCCAUCGUCAGCUCGUACCGUGAGGCGUGCCGUUAAGUCGGUUAACGAGCGAGACCCCCGCCCCAUGUUGCCAUUCCCUUCUCCGGAAGGGAGGCACUCAUGGGGGACUGCCCGCGAUAAGUGGGAGGAAGGAGGGGGCGACGGUAGGUCCGUAUACGAGCUGAGCUGCUGGCUCUCUCGGCGAAAGCUCCGAAAGCCCUGGGCCACACGCGCGUCACAAUGCGCGCUACAAUGGGAUGCCACCCCGAAAGGGGGAGCAAAUCCCCUAAAAGCGCGCCCAGUUCGGAUCGAGGGCUGUAACUCGCCCUCGUGAAGCCGGAAUCCCUAGUAGGCGAACGUCAUCAUGGUGGUAAGGUGAGAAUGAUUAGCAUGCACUACUCCAGAUUAAAAGAUGAGGAAAUAGAGCCAAAGAUCAUCUUGCCACCAUGAACACGUUCGCCGAAUACGUCCCUGCCCCUUGCACACACCGCCCGUCAAGCCAACCGAGUGGAGCUCCCUCGAGGCCCCAAAAGGGUCGAGUGGGAGCUCCGCGAGGGGGGCUAAGUCGCCACAAGGUAGCCGUAAGGGUUGGUAAAGUAGAUGAUAUAAUGGCUUGACUCUGACGAAUGAUGAGUAAGGAGGUGAUUUAACUUUACCGACCCGGCAACUGGAAGGUGCGGCUGGAUCACCUCCU
rnacentral:rRNA from 1 species